AGAGAUUUAAGUUAAUAAAACUAAAAACCUUCAAAGUUUUAAACAGAAGUGAGAAUCUUCUAAUCUUUA
rnacentral:tRNA from 1 species